AGUUCCCUCAGAUAGCUGGCAUUCUCAGGAUGCAGACAGGAGAAGACAGAUAGGUAAAUAAUGAAUUCUGCAAGACAGGAUGGGACAGUUAGGGAAUUACUGCAUGUCAGAGACAGGAGAGGACAGUUAGGGAAUUACUGCAUGUCAGAGACAGGAGAGGACAGUUAGGUAGUUACUGCAUGUCAGAGACAGGAGAGGACAGUUAAGGAAUUACUGCAUGUCAGAGACAGGAGAGGACAGUUAGGGAAUUACUGCACGGCGGAGACAGGAGAGGACAGUUAGGGAAUUACUGCAUGUCAGAGACAGGAGAGGACAGUUAGGGAAUUACUGCACGGCGGAGACAGGAGAGGACAGUUAGGGAAUUACUGCACGGCGGAGACAGGAGAGGACAGUUAGGGAAUUACUGCAUGUCAGAGACAGGAGAGGACAGUUAGGGAAUUACUGCACGGCGGAGACAGGAGAGGACAGUUAGGGAAUUACUGCACGGCGGAGACAGGAGAGGACAGUUAGGGAAUUACUGCACGGCGGAGACAGGAGAGGACAGUUAGGUAGUUUCUGCAUGUCAGAGACAGGAGAGGCCAGUUAAGGAAUUACUGCAUGUCAGAGACAGGAGAGGACAGUUAGGGAAUUACUACACGGCGGAGACAGGAGAGGACAGUUAGGGAAUUACUGCAUGUCAGAGACAGGAGAGGACAGUUAGGGAAUUACUGCAUGUCAGAGACAGGAGAGGACAGUUAGGGAAUUACUGCAUGGUGGAGACAAGAGAGGACAGUUAGGGAAUUACUGCAUGGUGGAGACAAGAAAGGACAGUUAGGGAAUUACUGCAUGUCAGAGAUAGGAGAGGACAGU